rnacentral:rRNA from 1 species
GUGCCAGCCGCCGCGGUAAUACAGAGGGGGCAAGCGUUGUUCGGAAUUACUGGGCGUAAAGGGCGCGUAGGCGGCCUUCUAAGUCGAACGUGAAAUCCCCGGGCUCAACCCGGGAACUGCGUCCGAGACUGAAAGGCUCGAAUCCGGGAGAGGGAUGUGGAAUUCCAGGUGUAGCGGUGAAAUGCGUAGAUAUCUGGAGGAACAUCGGUGGCGAAGGCGGCAUCCUGGACCGGUAUUGACGCUGAGGCGCGAAAGCCAGGGGAGCAAACGGGAUUAGAAACCCUCGUAGUCC